CACGCAUGACACACUGCAUAUCAAUAAGCGGAGGAAAAGAAACUAACAAGGAUUCCCCUAGUAACGGCGAGUGAAGCGGGAAGAGCUCAAAUUUGAAAUCUUAAAGGGUUUCCCUUUACGAAUUGUAGUUUAAAGAAGUGUUUUCGGUUAGAGGAGUAGUAAAAGUUCUUUGGAAUAGGACAUCAUAGAGGGUGAGAAUCCCGUAUUUGGUACUAUUCUUUCUAGCUUUGUGAUACACUUUCAACGAGUCGGAUUGUUUGGGAAUGCAGUCCAAAAUGGGUGGUAAAUUUCAUCUAAAGCUAAAUAUUGGCGAGAGACCGAUAGCGAACAAGUACCGUGAGGGAAAGAUGAAAAGAACUUUGAAAAGAGAGUUAAACAGUACGUGAAAUUGUCAAAAGGGAAGCGUUUGACACCAGUGUUGUUUUUCCGAAAAUCAAUUACGAAUGUUUUAUUUUUGAGAAGUUAUGACUUCAUCGGCUUGCUUCUCUCUUUAUGAAACUUUCUUAAUGCACUUUUCGGUUAACAAGUCAACAUCAAUUUCUUUUGUUGUAAAAGGGUAUGAGGAAGGUGGCCUUCUUUUCGGAGAAAGUGUUUAUAGCCUUGUACCUCUGCAAUCGGAGAGAUUGAGGUCUGCAGCGUAGAUCCUUCGGGGUUAGAUACAUUUGUGCUAAGUUAUAGCUUUUUAUAGACAACUUGUUGACUAUAUUUAGUCUUGUAGCUUACUCGCUUAUGCUAUUUUACCUACGCUUAGGAUGUUGAGCGCAUGUCUCUCUCU
rnacentral:rRNA from 1 species